UUUUUGUCUGUCUUUUUACUGUUGAGUUCCUAUUAAUGAGAUCUUCAACUUUCAUUUAGACCUCGUUGGCUAAUUCUCAUUCUAUCUCGGAUUUACAAAACUGUAUCAAAUUCGCCGCGCUCGAAAAGUAGGGACUAAGCUUCGUCCAUAACUUUCGCAUACGAGCUCCAUUUUUGUCUGUCUUUUUACCGUUGAGUUCCUAUUAAUGAGAUCUUCAACUCUCAUUUAGACCUCGUUGGCUAAUUCUCAUUCUAUCUCGUAUUUACAAAACUGUAUCGAAUUCGCCGCGCUCGAAAAGUAGGGACUAAGCUUCGUCCAUAACUUUUGCAUACGAGCUCUAUUAUCGACGUUCUUUAUAUCCACGCGUUGGUAUUUAUGAGUACUACAACUUUCAUUUAGAUCCCGUCGGCUAAAAAUCGACCGAUCUAAAAUUCAGAUUUCGGGCUGUGCACUGCUAUGCUAAAUCUUAGAAAAAUCAUAACUUCCUCAUACGAAGUCAGAUUUGGGUGUUCUUUUUAUCGAUGUUCUUAGUUUAACAUAUUCUACGACUUUCAUUUAGAUCGCUAAGGCUAAAUCUCGCUCUAUCGUAAAUUCACUAUUUACGCUUCCCGGUAUCGUGCCGGUUCCGUCGCGAAACUUCAACAGGUCAUAACUUCUUCGUUAUAACUCGGUUUUCGGCGUUCUUUAUAUGUACGAAAACCUUGUAACAUACUCUACAACUUGGUUAAGAUUAUUUAUUCUAAAUAAUCUUUUGUCGAAAAGUCGUUUUCGACCCCUAAUGCCUCUAAUUUGACUAGCUCGGAUUUGCGGGCGUUACAUAAGCAUCACAUACAACUGAAACCAAUCAAGGCUCUGAUACCACUGAUGGGUUUUAUGCAUAAGAAACAUUCAUAUGUGCUCAUACAAACCCUAAUGCUUGGAUCUAGGUUUCUCUAUUGAACAUGCUUUGAUUCCAAGACUUACA
rnacentral:lncRNA from 1 species